rnacentral:misc_RNA from 1 species
GAAAAAUGGUAAUACAACAAUUCAUUUUCGAACUUCCCCAUAUAAUAAUAUGAUAACAGACAAACAAAUCAAGCAUAAUGCAGUAUUUAGCUUCAAAAUAUGAGAUCAAGCACGAUCAUCUUGUUGUUUAAACAUUAUCCACUGAAGCAGGCGCUGCUGGUGUUGCUGGUGCAGCUGAUGCUAUGGUAAACUGUACACUUCUCGGCUGUCCAGAGUGUAACACAACUGCAAAUUGUGUUGCUGCCAAUGCUGCAGCUUCCUCUCUUUGUCUGCGCUGCUGCAAGAUGCUGAUGGCCCAGAGCAUGAUGUAGCAAGGUAAAAGAAAGCCAACUGCCCGAAGUAAGAAAAGCGAAAAGAAAGCAGUUGGAUCUUCAUCAUCUCCAUCUGUAUCUGUCAUUGGUAAUGCAUGGCGCAAUAGUAGAAGAGCCAUCAAAAUUAAAGCAGCGGAUCGAAAGAAAGCUGCACCACUUGCAUUUGCAGAAUUGUAAUCAUCAUAUUCAGCUUCCAGAAGUUGGCGUUCAGCCUCUGCAAUUGCCAAGACGCGAGGAUCAUGUAAAUUCAAAGGGGUACCAGAGAUUUGCCAUCCUCCCCCAAUAUCAAUAAUUGUCUCCUCAGCCACAGGUCGAGGAGGAACAGUGUAACCAGGCUGGUAUUGCUGAUGGCAAAUCUCACAAGUAAUAUCUCCCUUCUCAUUGCACCAGUGUUGAACGCAUGCUCGGUGUGUGUACUUGAGACUUCCACUACAAGCACAUGGGCUCUCCAACUUGUCCAAAGAAUCCUCCUCCUGGCAAAUCCUGCACUCUGCUCUACCAAUUAACGGAACCUCCUCA